GCACCUGUAGCUCAGCUGGUAGAGCACCGGUUUGAAGAACCGGGUGUCGGGGGUUCGAGCCCCUCUGGGUGCACCA
rnacentral:tRNA from 1 species